AAGUCGUAACAAGGUUUCCGUAGGUGAACCUGCGGAAGGAUCAUUACACAUAUAAACUAGAUCUCAGGGGAGGUUCGCCUCUUUCUGAGAUGUAUGUUAUACCCAUGUCUUUUGCGUACUACUUGUUUCCUUGGUAGGCUUGCCUGCCAAUAGGACAAAAUCAAAACCUUUUGUAAUUGCAGUCAGCGUCAGAAAUAACUUUUAAUAGUUACAACUUUCAACAACGGAUCUCUUGGUUCUG
rnacentral:misc_RNA from 1 species